rnacentral:lncRNA from 1 species
AUUACAGUCUAGUUUGCUGUCCGAAAACAACGUGUUAUAAUAAUUUUUAUUGAAUUAAUUUAAUUACUAAUUAUUCAUUAAAUUGUGAUCAAGAGGAAUACAGUACCAGCGGCACACGAUGAAAUUGGUAAUGAUAUUACUGGCGCUGAGCAUCGCAGCGUGCGACAUGUGCGUCGGCGGCGCGUCGGACGACAUCCCCGUGACGUUAGCCGGCGCCGCGCCCGCAGACAUACUGCUGUACCUCUACGACGUCGUGCUCACGCCGCACAUGCUCACUGAUACCAAUAGAGAAGGAGGAGGGGCUUUACCAUCGCCUUAUUGUCCUCACGGUAAACCUCCCACAAAAGGUGGUCAUUGUCCAGACAUCCCAGAUUAUUAUUAUUACGAUUAGAAAGUAAUGACAAAAAGGAAUAAUUGUACUCACUUCACCGAAGCACCACCAAAUCAUAAUAGAUACACUGAAAUAGUGAAUAUUAUUUAUUAACAAUAAAAGGUUGAUUAUUUUUAACAAUAAAGGUGUUCCAUCGUGUUCUCCAUAAAAUAUAGGAUGUAACUUGAAUUCUGUAGUAGAGGUAUAUAU